rnacentral:rRNA from 1 species
GAUGAACGCUGGCGGCGUGCCUAAUACAUGCAAGUCGAGCGAACGGACGAGAAGCUUGCUUCUCUGAUGUUAGCGGCGGACGGGUGAGUAACACGUGGAUAACCUGCCUAUAAGACUGGGAUAACUUCGGGAAACCGGAGCUAAUACCGGAUAAUAUUUUGAACCGCAUGGUUCAAAAGUGAAAGACGGUCUUGCUGUCACUUAUAGAUGGAUCCGCGCUGCAUUAGCUAGUUGGUAAGGUAACGGCUUACCAAGGCAACGAUGCAUAGCCGACCUGAGAGGGUGAUCGGCCACACUGGAACUGAGACACGGUCCAGACUCCUACGGGAGGCAGCAGUAGGGAAUCUUCCGCAAUGGGCGAAAGCCUGACGGAGCAACGCCGCGUGAGUGAUGAAGGUCUUCGGAUCGUAAAACUCUGUUAUUAGGGAAGAACAUAUGUGUAAGUAACUGUGCACAGCUUGACGGUACCUAAUCAGAAAGCCACGGCUAACUACGUG